AUUGUUGCUGGCAACUGCACCAUUGAACAGCGAGGGAUGUUCAUCACUACCAAGUAACUUUUGCAACUUUCCUAUUUUUUCGGGAAUACCGCCGCUGCCCCCGGGCCAUGCCUCUAUAAUGAGAAGAUCACCUGGGUGAAGAUGACGAUGCAACAUCGACAUGUCGAAGUACCCAGCGAAUGUGACGACAAAACUACUAAAUGGAUUUUGAUCAACAGACAACCUGGAUAGGCAACUUUUUAAAAAUCCUAGAAUCACUACCAGAAAACUUUUUAGCUCUAAGUUUUAUUUUAACAGUUACUAGAAAAUAAAACCGAGAGAGAGAGAAAACAGCUGUAUUUAUUUUAACUCUUUGGACACAUGGCGCCAUCUGUUGCCGAGUAGCGGUAAUAAUAGCGACACCUGUUGUCGAGUAGUAGUAACAAUGAGUUAGUGCAGUGAGAGUGAAGUGAACGUAACAAUUAUAUUAUUUAUAUAUAUUUUAAUAUUUAUAGGUUCUAUUUAAGUUUAGGUUUAUUAGUAGAUCACAUUUUAUUCUGUUUUAUUUAAUAAAGUAUGCUCUUACUUAAAAGAGCUAUGAUAUAAUUCAAGCUAUCGAUUUUAACUGUUACUUGUAUCCAUAUUCUGAUUGAUAAAUAAUAAAUUUAGAAAUAUCA